GAAAUGCGAUAAGUAGUGUGAAUUGCAGAAUUCAGUGAAUCAUCGAAUCUUUGAACGCACAUUACGCCCUUUGGUAUUCCAAAGGGCAUGCCUGUUCGAGCGUCAUUUGUACCCUCAAGCUUUGCUUGGUGUUGGGCGUCUUGUCUCUAGCUUUGCUGGAGACUCGCCUUAAAGUAAUUGACAGCCGGCCUACUGGUUUCGGAGCGCAGCACAAGUCGCACUCUCUAUCAGCAAAGGUCUAGCAUCCAUUAAGCCUUUUUUCAACUUUUGACCUCGGAUCAGGUAGGGAUACCCGCUGAACUUAAGC
rnacentral:misc_RNA from 1 species